rnacentral:lncRNA from 1 species
CAAAGGUGCCAGAAAGGGGUUGGUAGAUGUUCAGUGCUUUUACCUGUUUCCAACAGACUGCUGCCCCAGUCCUUUCAAACAUAUCACUAGAAAUGUUUUAGUGUGUUUUUUGCUUUGUUGUAUUUUUUAAAAACCAAUAAAAGCCCCAUAUUGCAUGCAUUGCUUCCAAGGAUGUGUCUGCCAUUUUCUGGAACUGCAGCAGAACUUGAGUUAUAAAAAGCAGCACAAAAAUGAAGCUAGGGAAAGGAAGUUCCUUAAAAAACAAUUUCAUAUAUACUAUAUAUUUUUUUCUUAAGUCUUUAAACCUCAAUCAAUCUACUUUCUUCUUUAAAAUAGGCAGAGUUUUGAUAUUGUGAGCAUGUAACAGAAGUGGAGUCUUGUGAGAAUGCUUUUGCCAACGAAUGCCAUAUAGUGAAGAAGCGAAACGACUGUUGGGAAGGAGCUGGGUUUAAAAUGCUGGCUUUAGGACAAUCGCUUUGCUGUUUGAAGAGAACAGAAGGCAGCACAGAGGCAGCAGUGCCACCAGCCCCUCGAGGACGGCGCCCAUCUGCGGGCUGCGUGUGUGCGGCUGCUGAACGACGGCAGCGGGGCGGCAUUCGGCUGAGGAGCGGGCAGAACGGUGUGUGUUAGAGAAGAAACACACAAACAGUGCUGGAGUGGAAAUACUGGGAAGUGUGCUCAUUCCACCAGUGGAGUUUUUAUGGAUCUCCUUGUCUCCCUGUCUCCCACACGUUCAGGACUGUGAGAGAGAUUAGCACAUCAGUCGAGGCGAUGUAUGCCAUGGCAGAUUCCGUGAUCGUAUUAAGUGACAAAAUCAUUAUAGACAUACUUGAAAAGACUGACUUCCUCGUCAUCUCAGACAGCGAUUACUAAUCGCUCUCGUAUUGUUCUGUGCUGCUCUGCCUGGGCUAUUUCUAGGUGUCUCCUGACUGUUGAUGCAUGUCGGUGAGUUUAACUGAAACAGUACUGUACAUGGCUUAUAAGGCUCUGCUGCAGAUUUUGUUGAAGCGGAUGGAAGACCACGGUGUUCAAGGUCACUGAUGUUUAAAAAUUGGAGAGAGGCACAUAGAUCUGUGACAUGUUUCCAAUGAUAAAAUGAAGUGGAAAGUUUGAGUGGAGCCUCUAUAAAAAGGGUGAGGACCUUAAGGCCUCACAGGGGAACACAGAAUUUCCAUCCUCGGUGUAUUUACGUGGGAAGUAUAUAGUUGGGUCUGCAUCAGACUCGGGCCUAAGUGCACAGACGCUUCCCUACAGCAAGUGGGGCUGAGCUCGUGCUUGCCUCCCAGGGCGCCCCAGCAGUGCUUCGCCUGCCCGCAGUGCAGCCUCCUGAUUUUGGACAGGUUUCUGCAGUGCUCUAGAUCUGUGUAAAACCCCCUGGCAGAAACACAGCUCACGUCCAGUGUGGUGACAAACCUCUUUGUUUUCUGAUGAAAACAAAUUUUUACAGGUAGGGACUUAAAAUGUAGUCUGUCCUACUGAAAUUGAGCUGCACACGUCAAAGCACAUUUGACAAAGAAGGAAAACAGGGAUGUUUGGUGUCAGCAAGACAGAUUACUCAGUUUGCACUGCUAAACCAAUUCCUUCUUCGCUGUGAGGCAGAAGUCCCUGCUGCUGAGGUAAAGCCCCUGACAGAGGGAGGGGGCAACCAGCGGCUGCAAGGAAUUUUUUCCAAGUGCGGUGGAAGCAGAAUUUCAAAGACUUGCCUUAAGAGCCAAUCUGAAGUGGGACAAAAAAGGGAACUUGCUUUACUCUUGUUUUUGAAAAUGUUUGGAUAGCUCCUUUUCCAUUUUGUCUUCAUAAAAUAAAAUAAUUUAAUUGGUAAACUGGGACUAUCA